rnacentral:rRNA from 1 species
CCAGACUCCUACGGGAGGCAGCAGUGGGGAAUAUUGCACAAUGGGGGGAACCCUGAUGCAGCGACGCCGCGUGGGUGAAGAAGCGCCUCGGCGCGUAAAGCCCUCUCGGCAGGGAAGAAGGAGGACGGUACCUGACUAAGAAGCCCCGGCUAACUACGUGCCAGCAGCCGCGGUAAUACGUAGGGGGCAAGCGUUAUCCGGGUUUACUGGGUGUAAAGGGGGCGCAGACGGCAGCGCAAGCCAGGAGUGAAAGCCCGGGGCCCAACCCCGGGACUGCUCUUGGAACUGCGCGGCUGGAGUGCAGGAGGGGCAGGCGGAAUUCCUGGUGUAGCGGUGAAAUGCGUAGAUAUCAGGAGGAACACCGGUGGCGAAGGCGGCCUGCUGGACUGCGACUGACGUUGAGGCCCGAAAGCGUGGGGAGCAAACAGGAUUAGAUACCCGUGUAC